AUUGAACGCUGGCGGAAUGCUUUACACAUGCAAGUCGAGCGGCAGCGCGGGGCAACCUGGCGGCGAGCGGCGAACGGGUGAGUAACAUAUCGGAACGUACCCAGUCGUGGGGGAUAACUAUCCGAAAGGAUAGCUAAUACCGCAUACGACCUGAGGGUGAAAGCAGGGGACCGAAAGGCCUCGCGCGAUUGGAGCGGCCGAUAUCGGAUUAGCUAGUUGGUGAGGUAAAGGCUCACCAAGGCGACGAUCCGUAGCUGGUCUGAGAGGACGACCAGCCACACUGGAACUGAGACACGGUCCAGACUCCUACGGGAGGCAGCAGUGGGGAAUUUUGGACAAUGGGGGCAACCCUGAUCCAGCCAUUCCGCGUGAGUGAAGAAGGCCUCGGUUGUAAGACUCUUCGGUCAGGAACGAAACGGUAGGUCCCGUAACUACGGCGUACUAAUGACGGUACCGUCGAAGAAGAAGACACCGGCGUAACUAACGUGCCAGCAGCCGCGGU
rnacentral:rRNA from 1 species